UGGGUAGUAUCGAAGAUGAAUUACACCAAACAGAAAAGCAUUAAUACUUAUAAUAUAACUCAUAUCUAUAUGAAUGAGAUUAAAAU
rfam:Clostridium saccharoperbutylacetonicum N1-4(HMT), complete genome.